rnacentral:tRNA from 22 species
GGCCCGUUGGUCAAGUGGUUAAGACACCGCCCUUUCACGGCGGUAACAUGGGUUCGAGUCCCGUACGGGUCACCA